rnacentral:lncRNA from 1 species
GAAUCCCAGUGUUCUCAUCCCAUCUGUGACUCCUGGUCACCGACACAUAAAGUGUCACACACUGCCAAGCAGCACCUAACUUUCAGAUUUCAUGGUGAACUUGUCCAUGUGGGAAAAGGAGUCCUCGCAACUACUGAGGAUGCUAUUGCUUACUUUGGAGGCAAGAAAUUAUUCUAAACCUAAUUAAUCCGCCGCAUCGUAAAAACUUACGCCGUUGCUGUCUGAAUUUGUCUAGGAGAGACUGCUGCACAAGUAUUUUCUAAGAAUCGCUUGAGAACCUGCUAAGAUACUUCCAGGCCCAAAUAAUUUAGGUUGUAAUGCAAGAUUAAGAAACUGAUGUACAGGAGAAAAA